GACUUUGUUUUGCUGGUGACUGUAUGCCCAGUUCCUAAAACAGGAGUUGGCAUGGAGUGAACUCUCAAUAAAUAUUUAAUUGAAUGGAAUAAAUGAAUAAAUAAAUAUAACACAUAGUGAGUGUUCACUAUAUGAGAAGCAUUCAAGUUCUAAGCACUUGCAGUAAGUAAUAUUCACAACAACUCCAUAGGGAGACCCUAUUAUUAUCCCCAUUUUACAGAUGAAGAAACUGAGGCACAGAAAGUUUAACUGUCUUGCCAAGGCCAUGCAGCUUAGAUGUCUUAUAUUCAAGAUCAGAAGAGGCAACAGGAUUCAUAUUCCAAGGCGCUCUCCCUUCCUCCCUCUUCAGCAGGCCCUCAGUCAGAGCCAGCUAUUCCUUCCCUUCCUUCCUUCCUCUCUUUGCUGUCUCCUGGAAUGCUUGUAUGGGAAUCACAGAGUCGCACGCUUCAGAUAUCUGGGGUGAAUCUUUGGUGUUUUAUGCAUUCAAAGGGUGAGAGCUUGGCUGAGCUCAAACUGCUGCCCUCUCUUCCCAUUUUCUCCAUACUGGUGCCUUAGAACCUGGUCAAGUCACACAACUUGGUAUUUUUUUCUUUAUUACUAUUUUUUUUAACAGCUGUUGACAAAUGCAGAGGCUAUUAUGGUUUAUGGUGUUCCUUUGCAUGCACCAUCUCAUUUGAUCAGCUCAACAGCCCAGGGAUAUGGGCAGUGCAAGGAUGGCCACUGCAGUUUAUCGAUGAGGAACCAGAGGCUCAGAGAGGUUGCGUGAAGCUAUUUGGAAGAAGAGUUUCGUUUCUAGUUAUAAAAGGAACCCUGAACUGGAGCCAGGAGGCCUUAUUCAAAUCACUGCCACUAACUAUACUUGUGACUGGUCAGGUUGAUUUCCCAUCUGUGUGACGGGAGUCAGAAAACAGUGGGAGACUGUGUUCUCUGUGCAAAGCCUGCCCAGCGCCCAAGAAAUUGGUGGAGCCGGAAUGAUGGAUAUGCCAGGGUGGCUGAACUGUUGGCUCAUCUGGAAUUAUCCAGAUUGUGGGCUACUCAAUCAUGAAACAUUCAUUGAGCAUCUAAAAUUUGCCAGAGGUGAUCUUUCCCGCGUGUGAUGUAAAUUCAUUGCAGGAUGCAUAUACCAGAAAAACGCUACAAGGGGGCACUCCAAUGGACUCUAAGCUCAAAUUCAACAUUAAACCAAAAGGAGGUGAGGGUGCAAAUGAUGUCCGAAAAGGUUCUUAUUUUGAAUCAUUUACUGGAAACACCAUGGUCGCGUUAGAAACUUUUUUGUGAGUGAGAAGAAAAUUGCAAGACUGACCAGAUUCAAGAGUGAAACUCAUCUGUGUCAAUGUGUGUUGGCCCAAGUAGGACACUCAUGCAAACACACCGCCCUUUUACUAACAAGGUGUGUGAGGCAGCUGAUCUCCUGCUCAUCCCCCAGUUAUAUCUGUGGGCUUUGUGGUGAAUGAACAUGGAUAGUCAUUUCAUCUCCUAAUCAACAAGAGAAUGAGUACUGGAAUAACAUCUUGGCAUCACCAGGAAGAGAAAGAAUCUAGAAUCCCUGCCAGGGUCUCUGAGCAUGUCAAGCAAUUUGAAUCGAAUUUAUUCCAGUCUUGAAAUUCCUUUGAAGCUUUUCUUAUGGAUCCUCUUUAUCCCGGUGGUCUCUCCUGUCACCAAUCUUCUACACCCGGCACCAUCCCCUUUCCAGGCACAUCACAGCCUUCUUGUGCUUUGGGACACUGGACAGCACUUCAGCACUACCAUCGGGGGCCAUUUUAAACAGCGAACCAACAAAAAGCACAAAAGCGAGAAAAAUGUGGUGCUAAAUAGAUCAGGAAAAGGACACCUGUUUACAAUAAGAUAGCUGAAACAAGAAGGGAGAGCAUCACUUUGUUGGACUAUAGCUGGGGAUGCACACAAUGGUUUUCUAUUGAUAUAAGUUAUGCCUGGAUCUUCAGUAAAGUAUUUGAGGAUAUCAAGUCAAUAGGAGAUGUGGAAAUGCACAAAGUGGGGGAACCAUGGUUGAUUCGCAUUUUAAAGAAACUCCUCUGCCUGCAAUGUGGUGCUUGGCUUUAAAGGAAGAAGGGAGAACAGCCAGGAAACAGUCAGAAUACAAUGGAGAACAUAUUCCAGACUGUCGAGAGCUUGCUACUAACUCCAACGGCCCCGACAUGGGUACAGAUAAGGAGAAAAAAAUGGAGGCAAUUUUUUUUCCCCUGCAGAGAUUUCAGAGAUUGAAGCUAAGACAUCCAGUUGCAUUUGAAAAUCGCGUUACCUGCCCACUUAAUGGUUUCGGUAUGAUCUGUCCCCGCUGUUCCGUGCUCAGCAAGUUUCAAUAGCUGCUUUCCUUGCUGGGGGUUGAUGCUGUACCACGGGAUUCUCGCUUUACCCGCAAGCACUGGAGAGGAUGGGCGAGUCAGCCUGGGCUGUGUGGUUUGCUCCACCUGGGUUCCCAUAUGAGGGUUUAAUUGUCCACAUUUUCUUCUCACCUGUCUCCAGGAAGUGGGGAGAGAGCACAGAACAGAGGUGAAGAGGGCCAUGAGGACACAGGUGCCCUCUCCCUUCCCUGCUGAUUCCCUCCAUCUCCUCCCCACCUUCCUUUUUCAUUCUCUCUCCUGUCGUUCUGUUCCUAGCCCGAUUUUUCCCAAGCUUUCAACUUUGAGCUCAAAUGAGCAGCCAGGCUGCAUUUGGACACAAUAUCACCGAGUUGCCCUCCAGAACGGUUGUAUAUUUUCUCCAGCAGAACAUGAAAGCGUGUGAAAUGAGAAGAUCCAUUUUCUUAUCUCUUUGUACUCAUGUGGACCUGUCUGAUGGAGUAGCUUUCCCAGGAUAUCUCUUAGCGCCAUUAAAUAACUUUAAUGCUGCCCUGCUAAACCUUGUUUUCCAGGAGACCCCAUCGUCUCUGAGAGGCCACAUGGAGCAAAACACAGUUAUCUGAACCAAGGGCUUCUUAGACCAGCCAGCCCCCAGCUGACCCACUAGCAGAUCGCUGAUGCAUGCGUGAAUCCAGUCAAGAUGAGCUGAGCCCAACCUAUAUCAGAACAGUCCAUCCGACCUACCAGCUAAAGAGAAGGAAGAGAACAGCUGGAAAUGGGGGAUACGUGGAGCUUUCCUUAAGAAGAGCUGCCUUGCCUGUGUUUUCACAGUUUUGCCCGUUCGGUCAAGUGUGGAUGAAGCUGUUACUCUGGUCUCUCAUAAGGAAAGGGAGCCUUGUGUGUGGUGGGCAUGAGGUCAGCCUCUGAGGACAUAAACCUGAUGGAGACACAGGCCUCAUGAGGAGUUCACGGUGAACCUACAACCAGCGUUUAUGGAGCACCGGUGUGCCCGAAGGAAAACAGAGCCCAGAUAAUUUAAAGGACUCACAUGCGCUCCCAGAGCUAGUAAUUUCCCGAAUCCAUAACCAGGCCUCCAGAUAUGACAUCCAGGGACCAGCAACUCCAGUUUUAAGAAAAGAGCAAAGCCAGUUACAUCGUUCUGCACAAAGGCCCUGCUAGAGCUGAGCUACCCAGAGACCAGACCAGAGUGGAUUACUGAAUAUAACUAACCAAAUAAAAGUUAACUGAAGGACUAAAUGUGAUCACAUGGAGAAUGGACUCAUCUCUUGCCAGGAGUGAGCUUCUCAUCUACUGGCUUGGGGAGCAUUUGGCUGCCUUUUCCCCUUCCAGGCUGGGCAAACAGCUCAUUCUGAUGAUCUGAGAGAUGAGCCUCUGGUGAUGUCAGUCUCCCCCUGGGCACAGGGGCCCAUUAUCACAUGCACUUGACCUUCACUCUCCAAUAUGCUGGAUCUCAGCUCAGGAGUGACUCAGCGACGGUGAGCCUGUGCUCCUCCUUCAGAGAGGGCUGUGGUUUUCCUCAGGACAAAUGUUCCCAAAUGUUCCUGCAAAAUCUCCUUGCCAAGCCAGGUGCCUGAAGCCACAGCUCUCUGCCAUUUCAGACCUAAU
ensembl:lncRNA